rnacentral:rRNA from 1 species
GAAUAUUGCACAAUGGGCGGAAGCCUGAUGCAGCGACGCCGCGUGGGGGAUGACGGCCUUCGGGUUGUAAACUCCUUUCACCAUCGACGAAGGUUUUCUGACGGUAGAUGGAGAAGAAGCACCGGCUAACUACGUGCCAGCAGCCGCGGUAAUACGUAGGGUGCGAGCGUUGUCCGGAAUUACUGGGCGUAAAGAGCUCGUAGGUGGUUUGUCGCGUCGUCUGUGAAAUUCCGGGGCUUAACUCCGGGCGUGCAGGCGAUACGGGCAUAACUUGAGUACUGUAGGGGAGACUGGAAUUCCUGGUGUAGCGGUGAAAUGCGCAGAUAUCAGGAGGAACACCGGUGGCGAAGGCGGGUCUCUGGGCAGUAACUGACGCUGAGGAGCGAAAGCAUGGGUAGCGAACA